rnacentral:lncRNA from 1 species
UUUUUUUUUUUUUUUUUUUUUUUUUUUUUUUUGCAAAUGAGAGAAACCCAAUUUAUCUAGUUUCUAGUUUUAGCGGAAAAAAGUCUUAAUUGGCUCAUAUAACUUAAAACCUUCCAAUAGUAGUUUGGCCUCUGGCACAGCUAGAAUCAGGGAUUGAGUUAAUAGAAUUCUCAAUCUCUCUCUCCUUCUUGCUUUAGUUUUGCCUUCAUUAUCAGGUGUGCUUUCUCCACAUGGAAGUCUAUAUACUCACUCAGCAACCCCUGAUGUACAUGAUCCUAGCUCCGGAACUUUUCAAACUUUUCAAAGAAUCCUAGCUCCCUCUCUUCCCCUCCAUAUUAGACUUUGAAGAAAGGCUCAGAAUAGUGCAGCUAAGGACACAUGUCCACCCAGUGACAAGUCACGUUGACCAACAGGGUAUGAUCUACUCUGCCUAGGAAGCUUAGAGCUCUUGUAUUAUAAUCUGGGAAAACACUUAUGCAGCACUUAUAACUACCAGACACUAUUCCAAAUAGUUCACAUAUGUAAAUCACUGAACUGAAGCCAUAACACAUAAGCGAGGUACCCUCGAUAUCACCAUUUGACAAAUGAAAAAUUGAGGCACAGACAGGCUGUCACUCCCCCAAGGUUACCAUAAGAAGUGUUGAUGCUGGGAUUCAGAGCAGGCAUCUCAUUUCAGAAUCAGUGGACUCCUAACCCACAGUCUAAACAAAAAGGUAAAUAAUUUCAGAUAGUGACAAGUACAAUGAAGAAAACCAAAGGAAUGGUGUAAGCAUGCCUUGAGGUGUGGAGGCUCCAUUUGAUGCGUGGGAAAGAUCUUUCUGAGGAGGGGACACUAGAGUUGAAACUGCGAGGAUGAGAUUUGUGGGAACAGUGUUCAGGCAAGUGGCCCUGAGGGGAGUGAGUUUGGUAUAUUCAAAAACAGCAGAACAGUCAGACUGAAGAAUGAACAAGGGGUGGAGGUGUGAUGGGCACCAAAUCAGAGUCAGGCAGGAGCCAGGUCAUGUAGGGCCUCAAAAGCCAUGGGACAAAAAGUGUAGGUUUUACUAUCGUGGACAGGGAGUCACUGAAGCCCCUGAAUGGAGUUAAUUCAAUCAUUACAUAAUCACUGAGUGGGCCAUGGGGGUAAGAAUAGGAGAGUCUCUGGGGUGUUCUGGGAGGGACAAAUGGACAGAAUUUUCUCUCCAGCAUUUAUAAACAAAUCCUAUGUAAGUGCAUGAAAGUCCUUUAUGGAGUUAACAUGUUUUGAAAAAGCAGUUUUAAUAACCCACUUCCAAUAGCUAGAGUCUCUUGACCAAAUAGCUAGGGCUGUUUUAAAUGUUGAUUGACACAGAUCUGAUCUUUAUGGAGUAGGUGGUGUUGACAUGGCUGCCUUGCCCCCUUUUUAGGAAGCUGUCCUCACCGGUGGCAGUGACCUUUGAUUUUCCUAGGUCUCCUUCCAUUGACCUCCCUUGUUCCAGCCUUCUCUGUUCAACAAAUAGAACAGUGCUGUUAGCCCAGAAUUCUCUGAAUCUACUUCAUCCAAGAAACCUCUUUCUUGCUAAAGUGUUGAUGGAUUCCUUUUCUUAGUUAACCUAUUUAUAUUGGAAUAACACAAUUAAGAGAAACUGCUUUUUUUAAAGAUUUUAUUUAUUUAUUCAUGAGAGACACAGCGAGAGAGAGAGAGGCAGAGACAUAAGCAGAGGGAGAAGCAGGCUCCAUGAAAGGAGCCCGAUGUGGGAUUCGAUCCGAAGCCUCCGGGAUCACGCCCUGGGCCGAAGGCAGACACUCAACCACUGAGCCACCCAGGUAUCCCAAGAGAAACCGCUUUAAGCCUGGGUGAAUGCUCUAAUACUAACAGUUUCAAGAAUUAUGGCAGGAUAAGGGGUGGUGGGUGGAGAGUCAUUGGAUCCCCUUCAAAUAGUAUUCACACUAGAUGGCUGCUGUGUAUAUCCAGAAGAAUGGUGGCUCACCGGUUAACCAGAUUUCAGGAGCAGCUGGAGAACUUGUAGGUCAUAUUGGGAUCCACUGACCCCUGUCGUCCAAGUUUCCUCCCUGGACUGCUGUGUGCAUGUGUGCGCGCGUGUGUGUGUUUAAAUUCACAAACAGUAAAAUUGACUUUUUUGGUAUACUAGUCUGUGAGUUCUAACACUUGUAUAGAUCUGUGUAAUCACCACAAUCAGAAUGUAGAAUAAUUCCAUCACUCUUUCAGUCCUCUCUCCUUGCCUGUAACCUCUGGCAAACAAUGAUCCAUUCUCUGUUAUAUAUAUAUAUUGUAUAUAUGAAAUAUAUAUAUGCUGGGGUUUUUUAAUGAAUUGAAAGUUUAAUUCUGAACCAUUUUUAUAACCACAUUUUUCUCUUGAAGCUUCAUAUCACAGCAGGUUACAACAACUUUGGGAUAAAAGGCAAAUGAUAAAUUGUCCAAAACAAGGUUCCAAAUUAACCCCUCUUACUGAUUUGCCCUACCCAUACAUAUCCCAAAUAAAGUUUUUGAUCAAAAACAUGAAAUAGAUCCACCUGCUUAUAUUAAGCAUAUUAAAAAGGAAACUAAUUGGACCAUUUAUAUUUGUCUAUUUUAUACAAAAAGGCUACACAAUGUUACACUUUAGAUUACAGUUAAAGUGAUUAUGAAUUAAUGUUAUAUAUAAAUAAAAAUAAAUGUGUGUAUGUGCGCAUAUAUAUCCAUAUGUUUAUGCAAACAUAUUUGAAGAAUGUUAUAUAAGUGGAGUCGUACAAUAUUUGACUUUUGAGACUGUCUUAUUUUAUUCUGCAUUUAAUUCCUUUGAGAUUCAUCCAAGCUGUGACCUGUACCAAUAGUUCCUUUUUACCGCUAACUAGUAUUCCAUUGGAUGGAGAUGUAUCCAUUCACUCAUCUGAAGGGCAUUUGGAUUGUUUCCCAUUUUGGGUGAUUAUGAAUAGAGAUGCACACAGCUUUGUGUGAAUGUAAGUUUUCAUUUAUGUUGGGUGAAUACCAAAGAGUGGGAUGGCUGUACCAAAUAAUACAGAAUAGAAAUAACAGUAAGAAAUUGCCAAACCAUUUUCUUUUACUCCAGAGUAAGCGAUGCUAUAGAAAUGGCUCUUCUAGUGCCUCUGAACUCCUCUAAAAGCAAAGCAAAAGAGUAAUCUUUCUUCAAAGAAGCAGACAUUGAUCAUUUGUCUUACUCAGUGCUUAUUCCUACUCACUGCUGUGAGACUUCACCCCAGGGAAAGGCAAGUACUGUGAGUGUUUCUUCACAAAAGUGGGCUGACUUUGUGUUGAACCGCAAGUGUGUAUUGUUGGAUAUGGCUUUGGUGGGGGCACUGUCUGGGUCUCCAGAAUCAAGGGAGAACCAGAAUGAACUAUGCAGGAGCAACUGCAGACCAGUAUGCUUCUGCCUUAACCCAGGGAAUCUGCGGCAUAACACUCGGUGUAUAUUAAGCAACCAGCGAAAACAGUGCCUGAGUCCUUGUCAGCCAAACAGUAUCAUGGAAAGGGAAGCAGAUAAAAUGUGACAAUACCAUAGCAUUUCUGCUGUUGGUUGUCUUUCCUUCUGAUUGAUCUGAGUGCCCAAAACAAUUCCUGCAGCCUGCCUUGCUGGGGCUUCAGAUUAGCCAGCAUCACACCAACCCUCUAAUGGAAUCCAUCAGCAAUUGCACACAGCAAGGGGUUAAGCAAAUCUUAGGAAAAGCUUUUUACUAAUCACAGAAAAAGCCACACUUUACUUAAAUUUUAACACAUCCCACUGUGUUAAACCCACUGAAACGAAUCAGAGAUUGUUGUAUCCAGGGUAUAUAUAUACAUUUCAGAGGUAGUUUUUGUAAAAAAAAAAAAAAAAAAAAAAAAAA